rnacentral:rRNA from 1 species
UACGUAGGGUGCGAGCGUUAAUCGGAAUUACUGGGCGUAAAGCGUGCGCAGGCGGUCUGUUAAGACCGAUGUGAAAUCCCCGGGCUCAACCUGGGAACUGCAUUUGUGACUGCAAGGCUGGAGUACGGCAGAGGGGGAUGGAAUUCCGCGUGUAGCAGUGAAAUGCGUAGAUAUGCGGAGGAACACCGAUGGCGAAGGCAAUCCCCUGGGCCUGUACUGACGCUCAUGCACGAAAGCGUGGGGAGCAAACAGG